UGAGCUGCGCUUUUUAAUGGAACAUUAGGAAACUUGUGAGGAUCUACGAAAGCUGGGCUACACCAAAUUCUCCAUAGAAGCCACAGCUGGAAAGCUGAUUGUCAAUGUGAGACGAAUGGCUCCAAAGCAUACUUGUAGCCAAAGAUAGCGCUCUGUGCCAGGUGAAGAUCAACUGACCAGAUGAUUUAAAGCAUCUACCAUGACUUCCCCUUCCUGAAAAAAGUGGCUGGAGUGGUUUCAUACACACAAUCACCAUGCUUUUACCAACCAGAUCAUAAGGGAAUGGACCACACAGUUUGAAGAAUAGAGACCUAUUCGUGGAGGCCAAGCAGCCAUUUUUCUCAAAAAGGACUUUGACCGGUAGGCAUUUUAGGAGUUUUACAGCUGCCUAGUAAAGCUAGUCGGCUUUUUGAAAAGAUGCUUUUUCAUAUCACAAAUUUAUAUCAAAAUCUCUGUUUUACUCUCACAUAAAAAAUGCCCUUUUUUUUCUGCUA